GGUCCUUUAGCCCACCAGUCUCUGGUCUCCAGUGGAGGUUCCUACAAUAUAGGAUCUGCUCAGUGGAUAUCUUCUAUAUAAAAUCCUUCUCCUGAUCGACCCAUCAAGGAUGGAUAGGGACAGAGACAAGAUGGCUGAGAGUAUAAUAAAUCUCACCCUAGAGAUCCUCUUCCAGCUUACUGGAGAGGACUACACAGUAGUGAAGAAGACCUCUAGUGAGCACUGUCAGGUCCCUGUCUCAGAAGGAUGGGGAAGAACCCUGAGCCCAAUCACAGGGCCUCCACCUCACCCCCAGAUACAUGAGGAAAUCAAUAGAGAGAAGAUCCUAGAACUCACCAACAAGAUGAUUGAGCUGCUGACU